UGGGGAAUUUUGGACAAUGGGCGAAAGCCUGAUCCAGCAAUGCCGCGUGUGUGAAGAAGGCCUUCGGGUUGUAAAGCACUUUUGUCCGGAAAGAAAUGGCUCUGGUUAAUACCUGGGGUCGAUGACGGUACCGGAAGAAUAAGGACCGGCUAACUACGUGCCAGCAGCCGCGGUAAUACGUAGGGUCCAAGCGUUAAUCGGAAUUACUGGGCGUAAAGCGUGCGCAGGCGGUUGUGCAAGACCGAUGUGAAAUCCCGCAGCUAACUUAGGAUUGGCAUUGGUGACUGCACGGCUAGAGUGUGUCAGAGGGGGGUAGAAUUCCACGUGUAGCAGUGAAAUGCGUAGAGAUGUGGAGGAAUACCGAUGGCGAAGGCAGCCCCCUGGAGUAAACACUGACGCUCAUGCACGAAAGCGUGGGGAGCAAACAGGAUUAGAUACCCUGGUAGUCCACGCCCUAAACGAUGUCAACUAGUUGUUGGGGAUUCAUUUCCUUAGUAACGUAGCUAACGCGUGAAGUUGACCGCCUGGGGAGUACGGUCGCAAGAUUAAAACUCAAAAGGAAUUGACGGGGUCAUAGCUGUUUCCU
rnacentral:rRNA from 1 species